CCCAUAUGGAUACCAGGAGAUCACUGUCCCUGGGCUCUGUCCUAGUGGUAUAAAGGAGCACAGUGCUCUGUCCCAUGAUGUACAGUCCCUUUCCAGAAUGUUGGGGAUGAAGCUGGGAGUCUGCACCUGCGUGUUCUUACAACUCAAAGUCUUGUGGACAAUGACUGAGGAGACAAACCAUCCAGGAAACAGUC
ensembl:snoRNA SNORA73 Small nucleolar RNA SNORA73 family